GAUGAACGCUGGCGGCGUGCCUACUACAUGCAAGUCGAGCGAACAGACGAGGAGCUUGCUCCUUUGACGUUAGCGGCGGACGGGUGAGUAACACGUGGGUAACCUACCUAUAAGACUGGGAUAACUUCGGGAAACCGGAGCUAAUACCGGAUAAUAUUUCGAACCGCAUGGUUCGAUAGUGAAAGAUGGCUUUGCUAUCACUUAUAGAUGGACCUGCGCCGUAUUAGCUAGUUGGUAAGGUAACGGCUUACCAAGGCAACGAUACGUAGCCGACCUGAGAGGGUGAUCGGCCACACUGGAACUGAGACACGGUCCGGACUCCUACGGGAGGCAGCAGUAGGGAAUCUUCCGCAAUGGGCGAAAGCCUGACGGAGCAACGCCGCGUGAGUGAUGAAGGUCUUCGGAUCGUAAAACUCUGUUAUUAGGGAAGAACAAACGUGUAAGUAACUGUGCACGUCUUGACGGUACCUAAUCAGAAAGCCACGGCUAACUACGUGCCAGCAGCCGCGGUAAUACGUAGGUGGCAAGCGUUAUCCGGAAUUAUUGGGCGUAAAGCGCGCGUAGGCGGUUUUUUAAGUCUGAUGUGAAAGCCCACGGCUCAACCGUGGAGGGUCAUUGGAAACUGGAAAACUUGAGUGCAGAAGAGGAAAGUGGAAUUCCAUGUGUAGCGGUGAAAUGCGCAGAGAUAUGGAGGAACACCAGUGGCGAAGGCGACUUUCUGGUCUGUAACUGACGCUGAUGUGCGAAAGCGUGGGGAUCAAACAGGAUUAGAUACCCUGGUAGUCCACGCCGUAAACGAUGAGUGCUAAGUGUUAGGGGGUUUCCGCCCCUUAGUGCUGCAGCUAACGCAUUAAGCACUCCGCCUGGGGUGUACGACCGCAAGGUUGAAACUCAAAGGAAUUGAUGGGGACCCGCACAAGCGGUGGAGCAUGUGGUUUAAUUCGAAGCAACGCGAAGAACCUUACCAAAUCUUGACAUCCUUUGACCCUUCUAGAGAUAGAAGUUUCCCCUUCGGGGGACAAAGUGACAGGUGGUGCAUGGUUGUCGUCAGCUCGUGUCGUGAGAUGUUGGGUUAAGUCCCGCAACGAGCGCAACCCUUAAGCUUAGUUGCCAUCAUUAAGUUGGGCACUCUAAGUUGACUGCCGGUGACAAACCGGAGGAAGGUGGGGAUGACGUCAAAUCAUCAUGCCCCUUAUGAUUUGGGCUACACACGUGCUACAAUGGACAAUACAAAGGGCAGCGAAACCGCGAGGUCAAGCAAAUCCCAUAAAGUUGUUCUCAGUUCGGAUUGUAGUCUGCAACUCGACUACAUGAAGCUGGAAUCGCUAGUAAUCGUAGAUCAGCAUGCUACGGUGAAUACGUUCCCGGGUCU
rnacentral:rRNA from 1 species